UAAUACAGAGGGUGCAAGCGUUGCUCGGAAUCAUUGGGCGUAAAGGGUAGGUAGGUGGUCUCGUUUGUCUGGGGUGAAAGCCCAGGGCUUAACCCUGGAAGUGCCCCAGAAACGGCGAGACUAGAGUCUUGGAGAGGGUCGUGGAAUUCCCGGUGUAGCGGUGAAAUGCGUAGAGAUCGGGAGGAACACCAGAGGCGAAGGCGGCGACCUGGACAAGUACUGACACUCAACUACGAAAGCGUGGGGAGCAAACAGGAUUAGAUACCCUGGUAGUCCACGCUGUAAACGAUGGGUACUAGGUUUGAUGGGUCUUGACCCCCGUCGAACCGGCGCUAACGCAAUAAGUACCCCGCCUGGGAAGUACGGUCGCAAGACUA
rnacentral:rRNA from 1 species